rnacentral:piRNA from 1 species
UACAGGGUGGCUGCAGGUUUGCUACAACAA